rnacentral:tRNA from 1 species
ACCUGGCUGGCUCAGUUGGUAGAGCAUAUGACUCUAGAUUUUAGAGUCAUGAGUUUGAGCCCAUGUUGGGCA